UACAGAGGUCUCAAGCGUUGUUCGGAUUCACUGGGCGUAAAGGGCGCGUAGGCUGCGGGGCAAGUCGGGUGUGAAAUCUCAGAGCUCAACUCUGAAACUGCACUCGAUACUGCUUUGCUCGAGGACUGGAGAGGAGAGUGGAAUUCACGGUGUAGCAGUGAAAUGCGUAGAUAUCGUGAGGAAGACCAGUGGCGAAGGCGGAUCUCUGGACAGUUACUGACGCUGAGGCGCGAAGGCCAGGGGAGCAAACGGG
rnacentral:rRNA from 1 species